UUAGAGUUUGAUCAUGGCUCAGGACGAACGCUGGCGGCGUGCCUAAUACAUGCAAGUCGAACGCGUCCCGGUUGAUGAAGUUGAGUGCUUGCACUUGAUUGAUUCAACUUGGUGACGAGUGGCGAACUGGUGAGUAACACGUGGGUAACCUGCCCCGAAGCGGGGGAUAACAUUUGGAAACAGGUGCUAAUACCGCAUAACAACCAAAAUCACCUGGUUUUGGUUUGAAAGACGGCUUCGGCUGUCACUUUGGGAUGGACCCGCGGCGUAUUAGCUAGUUGGUGAGGUAACGGCUCACCAAGACAAUGAUACGUAGCCGACCUGAGAGGGUAAUCGGCCACAUUGGGACUGAGACACGGCCCAAACUCCUACGGGAGGCAGCAGUAGGGAAUCUUCCACAAUGGACGCAAGUCUGAUGGAGCAACGCCGCGUGAGUGAUGAAGGGUUUCGGCUCGUAAAACUCUGUUGUUGGAGAAGAACGGGUGUCAGAGUAGCUGUUGACAUCGUGACGGUAUCCAACCAGAAAGCCACGGCUAACUACGUGCCAGCAGCCGCGGUAAUACGUAGGUGGCAAGCGUUGUCCGGAUUUAUUGGGCGUAAAGCGAGCGCAGGCGGUUUUUUAGGUCUGAUGUGAAAGCCUUCGGCUUAACCGGAGAAGUGCAUCGGAAACCGGGAGACUUGAGUGCGGAAGAGGACAGUGGAACUCCAUGUG
rnacentral:rRNA from 1 species